rnacentral:rRNA from 1 species
GACGAACGCUGGCGGCGUGCCUAACACAUGCAAGUUGAGCGGUGAAGACUUGUUCUUGCGCCGUUUUGGAGUGCAGCGCACGGGUGAGUAACGUGUGGGAAAUCUGCUUUAGUUCGGGGGACAACAUGUGGAAACGAAUGCUAAUACCGUAUAACAACUUUAUACAUAAUUUGUAUGUUUGAAUGAUGCAAUUGCAUCACUCACACAUGAUCCCUCGUUGUAUUAGCUAGUUGGUGAGGUAACGACUCAUCAAGGCGAUGAUACAUAGCCCACGUGAGAGGGUGAGCGGCCACAUUGGGACGGAGACACGCCCCAAACGCCCAGGGGAGGCAGCAGUAGGGAUACGUCGGCAAGGGACGAAAGUCUGACCGAGCAACGCGGCGUGAGUGAAGAAGGUUUUCGGAUCGUAAAACUCGGUUGGUAGAGAAGAACGUGGGUGAGAGUGGAAAGCUCAGCAAGUGACGGUAACUACUCAGAAAGGGACGGCUAACUACGUG